rnacentral:lncRNA from 1 species
AGUCCCAUAGAGAGUCAAGGUGGUUCCGAUCCGGUUCCGGUUACUUCUGGGCCGGGAUCAUGUCGUCUAUGGGCUGGUUCUGCUCCAGUUUCUUCUCCAUCUCCACCAUGAGUUUGACCCCAUCUUGGGGUUCUAUGGGGUCCUAUUGGUCUCUAUUGGCCGCAUUCUGCUCUAUGGUCCCUAUGGGUCUUAUGGGUCUCUGAUGGGUCUCUCUGGGUCCUAUGGGUCUCUAUGGGUCUGCUAUGGGUCCCUAUGGGUCCCUAUGGGUCUCUAUGGGUCCCUAUGGGUCUCUAUGGGUCCCUAUGAGUCCCUAUGGGUCUCUAAUGGGUCCUAUGGGUCGGCCUAUGGUUCUCUAUGGGUCCCUAUGGGUCUCUAUGGGUCCCUAUGGGUUCCCUAUGGGUCUAUAUUGUGUCCCCUAUGGGUCUUAUGGGUCGCCUAUUGGGAUCCCUUGGGUCCCGCUAUGGUCCCUAUGGGUGCUCUAUGGGUUCUAAAGGUCCCUAUGAGUCCUAGGGUCCUAUGGGUCCCCUAAUGGGUCCCUAUGGGUCUCUAUGGGUUCCUAUGGGUCUCUAUGGGUCUCUGUGGGUCUCUAUGGUCCUAUGGGUCUCUAUGGGUCUCUAUGGGUCCCUAUGGUCCCUAUGGGUCCAUGGGUCUCUAGGGUCUCUAUGGGUCCCUAUGGUCCCUAUGGGUCUCUAUGGGUCCCUAUGGGUUCCCUAUGGGCUCUCUAAUGGGUCUCUACUGGGUCCUAUGGGUCUCUAUGGUCCCUAUGGGUCCCUAAUGGGUCCCUAUGGUCGCCUAUGGGUCUCUAUGCGGUCUCUAUGAGUCCCCUAUGGGGUCUCUAUGGGUCCCUAAAUGGGUCCUAUGGUCUCUAUGGGUCUCUAUGGGCUGUCAAUGUGAUCCCUGCCCUAUAGGUGGUGUGGACACGGCUGCUGUGGGUUCGGUGUUCGACAUUUCCAACGCGGAUCGUUUGGGAUUCUCGGAGGUGGAGCAGGUUCAGGGUCUCGAUGGGGUCAAACUCCCAUGGUGGAGAUGGAGAAGAACUGGAGCAGAACCAGCCCAUAGCAACGACAUGAUCCCGGGGAGAAGUAAACGGAACCGGAUCGGAACCCACCUGCUGCCCCAUUGAUUAAAGGGGUGGGGAUCCCAAUACAUGGCUGUAUGGCUGCAAAUAAACAGAGUCCUCUGUGGGUCUCA